rnacentral:lncRNA from 1 species
UUUGUUUAUAGUUUUCACACAAGGAUCAAGUGCUCAAAUAAAAGUAUUAGCUUUAAAAUGGUAUAUUUAUUCCUUAUAUAUAUGUAUAUUUUCUUAGUGUAUAUUGUUUCCCUUUCUUUCCUCCUUCCAUUUUCAAAUACUAAUUUUCAAACUUAAAUUUGUCUCACAAAUUUGAAUACAAAUGCAAAAAUACAAGAACUCCAGCAUGAAAUGCAUAUUUUCAAUGGCAUAUAUUCUUUUAUUAAUUAUUUGCUUUUGAAUAUGGUGUUCACAUGAUGACAAAUAGGUGCAAUUCACAUACAUAGAUAAAGGAAGACACUUUUCUCCUUUUAUAUGAUCUCUUACAAUUUAGGUGUUACAAAUCCUACCCCCCUUAACAGAAAUCUCGUCCUCGAGAUUUGUAAGAAAGAGGAUACAACAAGUUUAGCUUGUAGUCUAGAUUUCAGUUUCUAAUUAGUUCUAGUACCAAAGAUUUUUUUUCCAGACUAUAUCAAAUUAUCAGGUGAUUAGGAAGGCAUAUGUAUGGCCACCCCAUUAUGUAGGAUAAAAGAUGUCCUAGAGGUGUGAAUAGUUGUGGGUAAGAAAGAGUAGGGUAAAGAAAGACUUCAUCCCAGAUUGCGGAUCUUGAUUCAUCUGAUGAUUUAGCUUGAUCUUUGAAGGCUUGGGUUGAUGCUUAUCCUUCUUUGACGUGGUUGGUCUUCUUUGGUCUUUCUUCUUGGAGGUGCCAUCCGAGUUAAGGACAUAUAGUUAGGAUAGUCGGGGUACACGAGGUAGGUAGGUUUGAACAGAGUUGUAUUUUGCUUUUGGAACAAAUGGACUAGGCAGCCUGUGAUGUAGGUUAUAUUGUUGUUUACAGACAAGUUGGUCUAUGACAUUAAUUUAGGUUAGGUUAUGUUUGUUGAAGCAGCGUCUAACCCAUAUCACCAGAUUAACUAACAUGUUAGUAACUCACUUUUGAUUGGAUCAUAUUGGAUAAGAUGGUGAUCUAGAUUAGAUUGGAUAUAACUAGAUUAGACUAGUUAAGAUCUACUUAAUUUAUUUUGGACUAGAUCAUGGUUGUUACACUAGGAUGGGAUAAGCAAAAGUGGUUAGGAUGAGAUAAGAUGAAUCUAUUGAGAUAAUAGAGAAUUCUUUAAGAUAAGAUGGAUCUAUAGAUAUACUUUAUUGGAGGAUAAUCUAGAUUAUUUAGAAUUAUAUUUAAGCCUAUAUGUAUAUGUAGAUGUAAUUGUGGACAUUACUCCAAAACUCAUCACACUCAAUCAAAGAUCCAAAUCAAACAAGUAUCAUAAGAACAAACAUUCAAGUUCAUAGAUAUCUAUAAAAAUAGUUUUUUUUUGUUCCUAAGAUUAGGUCUCCUAUUCUUAAAAGUCACUUUAGGCACCGGAUUUCAAAGUGUGAAAUCCACAUUUGUCUUUAGAAAGAAAAGGUAAGAAUAAUCAGAGUAAAGCGGAAAUAGAUGAGAAGAGAUUAAGAAAAGUUUAGAAAAGAAUCAGAGUAGCAGAGGUAAGUAAGUAUUGGUUGUCCAGUUCUAUCUAGGUUUCGUCCUACAGUCAACAUUCCUCUGAUACCACUUCUGUCACACCCGGAUUUUAGGGGUCCAAAGCCCGGGCGCGAACAUAAUCACCAGGUGUGCUAGGACCAAGUCUCACACAUAUGAUGAAUCAUGGCACAGGAUCGAAUGUCACAUCUUUACUACAUAACAGGAGUUCUAUACAAAAAUAAAUAAAUAAUUACAUUAUAAGGAGACAACGGUCCAGCAACCCAAAGUUGACUGGGAGACGACGGCCUAGACCUCUCACGAACUCAUCACAGCAUCCUCCAAGCGCCUCAUCCUGUGGUACCUGUUCUUGACCUGUGGGGGGGGGUGUGAGACAGCAAGAGUGAGCUCACAUACGUUCAUCGCUCAACAAGUUGUGGGGAAUAAUGUGAAUGAACUCGCCAAAGGUGGGAGCUCAUGUGAAGUGUAAGGCUUACCAAAGAGGAUGGUUGAAGCUGAGCAUUGCUUUUAAAGUUGGUCAAAAUUUUAUUAGCAAUUACUAAGUAUAAGUAAAUACCAACCCAAUUGAAUAGUAGAACAAAAGUAACAACCUCACCUGCGAUGCAAUGCAUAUGACAAAUUGAGUUUAAGUUCCAUAAUUUAAUCAUGUGAGGGUCCGAGCUGCUCAUGACCGUGAGCACGGCUAGUAUACCAGUUUUACACUCUGCAGAGGUGGCGCAUCUUUACCCACAAGUCAUGUUACCCAUCUGCCAAGGGAUCGCGACUUCCCAUACACCUCUACCGAGGAGGCGAGGCAGGGUAACACUACGAGGCCUUUACAAAGUUCCACUAGCUUCAGAAAACCCGCUACAGUUUAUAGGAAGCUCCAAUGCAGGAAUUGCCUUGCAGGACCGCCAUCGCAGCAAAAUCCUCCCGAGGGUCUCCCUACACUGACCACUCCCCUACUGCCCUUGCCCCUUUCGGGUAAGGUAGUCCUCCACUAGCUUUCCUAAUUAAUCAGCCAAGGGCGUCCCAUUAUACCCUUGUGGUAGCACUGUUUUCCCGGGUGGUCGCUCCAUGUUCCAAUUAACAUAAUGAUCUUAUCAUGAACGGUGAUAAUAAACAGAUAAUAAAAGUAUAAUCAUGAGUAAUGUAUCUUCAUACCCAAAACCACAUAAAGCACUAGCAAGUACUACCCAAAAAGUUCAGUGGUAACAAGGUAUAAAGAUAAUCAAACUAGGGUAACCUAUUGGGUCCCAUCAAAAUUAACCUAUGCAGAUCAUUAUGAUUAAUCAGAACAUGGCUGGGUAAAAAGAAGUGAUCAAGGGCACAACUUGCCUAGGACUUUAGAUUCCAGGUACCAGGAUGAUCUUCAGGUGACACGUGACCUCACGCUAGUCGUAGCAAUACAAACAAGCAGUGUAUAGGCAAAAUUAACAUCACACCAAACAUGUAAACAAAAUACAUAAUAAUAAUCUACUCAUUAAAAUAAGAUUCUAGGAACAGAAAUCAUUAAUUUUGGAGUUACAGAUUCUAAGUUAUGAAUUUCUGAAGUUAAUAAGCAUCUAGAAUAGAUUAAUCCAAACGAAUAAUUUUAAUUUAAGUUUUAUGGUUAAACAAUGUUACUAGUUGAUAGACAAUGUUAAUACAAAAUUAUUGCAACUGGAAUUACUCAAUUUGGAGUUAAAAUGAAUUAACUAUGAAUUUCACAAGUUUCUGGCAUUUAUUUUCACAUUAAAAAUCAUUUUCUAUUUAUUUUUACUGGGUUUCCUAAUUCUCUGGACUGGGCACACAAAACCAGAGGAGCACAGGGUUUAAUUUAUAAGAUUUCCUAGACUCAGAAUUCACCCGCGCGGACGGCGGGUUAUUUAUAAUAAAGGGUAGGGGUUCUUUUGCAAUUGUCCCUGGCCAAAGGGGUAUCACCCAGUAUCAGCCGUAGGAUAUGAUAUAUGUGGCUCGGAUUAGAUCGUUACCUCAUUGAACCGGUAUGCAAUAUUAGGCAUCGGAUCAAUAAUCGACGAUCGAGGAUCCCCCAUGCGCGUAGGACAUACUAGUCCUUAGAUCAAGGAUCAACGGUCAUGAACGAAGCGUUUCAUAUGUUCCGAUCCUGGCCCUUCAUUCCGAUCCGACGCCCCCAGGCCAUCUUCCCCAACACGCACUGAGCAGAGGCGGCGCGGGGCGGCUUCACGGCGCUGAGGAGGGGCGGCGAGGAAUCUGGACGACCCCGCGACACCGCACAGAGCCCCAGCUCCAAAUUGAGGCCACGCAGUUCGUAUCCCGUGAAUCCAGGGUGGCGGCCGUGGCUUACUUCAUUCUCUCUCUCUCGAUCUCUCUGCAAUCCGUCGAACACACGGCGAACCCUCUCCAGCUUCUCUCUCUCUGCAUUAGCCAUGGCACGGUUCUAGCUCUCCGUUCUAGGGGAUGAGGAGGAGCACGCAACGAUCCUAGCUUUAUACAUGAGCGGACGAAGCUUCGGGCGACGAAUCCGGGCGUUUAGCGGAGUUCGUUGAGUCGGUUGCGCGAAUCGCGCAAGCCCGUUGCAAGGCGCCGGGAUGGGAGGUACCAGCGCACAGGGGCGGCGGAUGUAGCCUGGAAGCUCGGCGUGGUUUUCGGAUCGAGUGGAACCGCCAGGGAGCUCCAGCGGCGCGACCCGAUGGGAGCGGAGAAAGAAGAAACUCCUGACAGACGGGGCCCACAUUGCAGCCACUAGGGACGCGCGCGUGAAUGAUCAGGGGUGCCGACGAGAAGGGCCCACCCGCCAGCGACAAUCCGAGGGACGCAGACGCGGAAGGUGAGUGGAUGACGACGUGGGUCCCCCAUGGCGGAGACCACAUGCUGGUGCAUGGGCCGUGCGGUCCAAGUGGGCCAAAUUCAAGGUAGCAGACCCAGCUAGGUUUUUAUCUUUUUUUUUUCCUUUUAUCAUUUCUAUCUUCUAAUGUCAUAUUCCUACUCAAUUCAUAAUUUGAAUUCAAAUUUGUUUAUAGUUUUCACACAAGGAUCAAGUGCUCAAAUAAAAGUAUUAGCUUUAAAAUGGUAUAUUUAUUCCUUAUAUAUAUGUAUAUUUUCUUAGUGUAUAUUGUUUCCCUUUCUUUCCUCCUUCCAUUUUCAAAUACUAAUUUUCAAACUUAAAUUUGUCUCACAAAUUUGAAUACAAAUGCAAAAAUACAAGAACUCCAGCAUGAAAUGCAUAUUUUCAAUGGCAUAUAUUCUUUUAUUAAUUAUUUGCUUUUGAAUAUGGUGUUCACAUGAUGACAAAUAGGUGCAAUUCACAUACAUAGAUAAAGGAAGACACUUUUCUCCUUUUAUAUGAUCUCUUACAAUUUAGGUGUUACAAUUGGGGAAGAGGAGGCCUUUGUUGACGGCGAUGUUGGCGGCAUCCUCGUCGGAGGAGGAGUCAGUGGAGCU